GACGAACGCUGGCGGCGUGCUUAACACAUGCAAGUCGAACGGAAAGGCCUCUUUCGGGGGGUACUCGAGUGGCGAACGGGUGAGUAACACGUGAGUAACCUGCCCUUGACUUUGGGAUAACUUCAGGAAACUGGGGCUAAUACCGGAUAGGAGCUCCUGCUGCAUGGUGGGGGUUGGAAAGUUUCGGCGGUUGGGGAUGGACUCGCGGCUUAUCAGCUUGUUGGUGGGGUAGUGGCUUACCAAGGCUUUGACGGGUAGCCGGCCUGAGAGGGUGACCGGCCACAUUGGGACUGAGAUACGGCCCAGACUCCUACGGGAGGCAGCGGUGGGGAAUAUUGCACAAUGGGUGGAAGCCUGAUGCAGCAACGCCGUGUGCGGGAUGACGGCCUUCGGGUUGUAAACCGCUUUCGCUCAUGACGAAGCUUUGUGUGACGGUAGUGGGUAAAGAGGCACCGGCUAACUACGUG
rnacentral:rRNA from 1 species